UUAGUAACGGCGAGUGAAGCGGCAAAAGCUCAAAUUUGAAAUCUGGUACCUUCGGUGCCCGAGUUGUAAUUUGGAGAGGGCAACUUUGGGGCCGUUCCUUGUCUAUGUUCCUUGGAACAGGACGUCAUAGAGGGUGAGAAUCCCGUGUGGCGAGGAGUGCGGUUCUUUGUAAAGUGCCUUCGAAGAGUCGAGUUGUUUGGGAAUGCAGCUCUAAGUGGGUGGUAAAUUCCAUCUAAAGCUAAAUAUUGGCGAGAGACCGAUAGCGAACAAGUACAGUGAUGGAAAGAUGAAAAGAACUUUGAAAAGAGAGUGAAAAAGUACGUGAAAUUGUUGAAAGGGAAGGGCAUUUGAUCAGACAUGGUGUUUUGUGCCCUCUGCUCCUUGUGGGUAGGGGAAUCUCGCAUUUCACUGGGCCAGCAUCAGUUUUGGUGGCAGGAUAAAUCCAUAGGAAUGUAGCUUGCCUCGGUAAGUAUUAUAGCCUGUGGGAAUACUGCCAGCUGGGACUGAGGACUGCGACGUAAGUCAAGGAUGCUGGCAUAAU
rnacentral:rRNA from 1 species